GUAACUGGAAGAACUAAAGAUUCUCAUUCCCUUAUAGCCAUGUGUGAGUGGACUAGAUGUAUGCAAAAGUUUCUUCAGUAGGUGGUAUACCCAGUAUUUCUGGUGGCCUGUGUAGGAGAGCUGGCCAAGGGAGGAGAAGUGAGGGAGAAUGGAUUUGGAAGGAGCUCCAGCAGCCUCCAGGAUAUUAUUGAGAUACCCACAGGUUUCCAGCUGUCACGGAUCUGAAGAAAUGUUUGAAAAUAUGGCUGGAGUUCAACUAGCAUUUGCCUGAGUCUGCAGACAGUCUAAAACCAAAACCUUCAACAAACACAAACUGCACCCCUCCUUUCAAAGACAACAGAGAUGCAGACACAGGAGGAACACAUAGGUUCUGCUCAGAUCUUGGUUUUGCCUCAUUUCAGCCUAGGAAGCAGGAGCAGUGAGGGGUAUAUCCACACAGCAUCAAACUGCAUGUCCUCAGUGCCCAUAGUGCUUUGUCCAUGCAGCAGGGUGGAAAGCAACAUCCUCAGAACAGAGAAUACCGGGAGAGUGCACAAACCAUCACGGACUUCUACACUGAGCUGGCAUACUCAGCUGCUGUUGAUUGAUAUACCUGCUGGAUCAAAGCCCUAUUCUCUUCUAUUGGAUGGAAUAUUUAUUGGUAGUCCUGGUGUCCUCUAUCCGGAUGUGGGUACGUUCCAGCUCAAUAGCAAGGGUGCUUGUGCAAGCAGGAUGGCAAACAAUAGUUUCUUGUUUUGACUGCAGGUUGUUAAAAUACUACUUUGGAGGUUGUGUCACAAUAUUGGAAUGUGAUUCAGUAGCAAAGACACAGAAGUGUUUUAAAGGGGUAUCAUGCAGAUCUCUGUGUGCUCAGGGUACAAGUGAAAGUCUGCAUGGCUCUGGGCUUGUACUGCAUAUACACGCUACAGAGACACAGCACCUUCUGAAUUUCUUUGCAGGUGGUUUCUAAAGUUCUUCAGCAUUUCCUUGGCUCCUCCAUGAGGUUUGUCCAGUCUUUCCUUCCCCUUGAAAAACAUUAUCUGACAAUGAGAUGCUGCAGUUAGGAAGUUUCCUUCCCGGGCCAGAAAGAAAUCAUUCUAUGACCUACACGGGUGACAGUGCUCCCAGGAAUAGAUUUACACUAAUAAUCAGAGAAAAGCCAGAGGGCUACGGUGGAGCAAGAAAAGAUUCCUUGGCAAUACUAAGGGUAGUUAGUUAAUUACAAAAGAAAUGCCUCUGCAAACUUCCAAAAUGAAAUUAGCAGGGGUUGUCAAGUGCCUUGAUCUGCUAGUGAUGUGCUGGGCAGCAACUUUGUCUUCUGGCCUUCCUACAGAUAGAGACAACUGAGGUCUUGGACAAACAAUCCAUUAGCCAUGUAGGACAACUGUCUGUAGUUGGGCUCACAUUCAGUGAGUUAAUAGGUGGCAUACAUGACUAUGGCUAGUUAGGACAUUUGGAGAUGCUGAAAUCUUGUGUUGUGCUGGACUGGAGAGAAAAUCCUGAGAAAUACCAUGUGCUGACAAACAAAAAGGAAAAAAUAUACAAGUUUUUCUCAGUUGAAAUGUUUUGUUUGGACAUCUCCAUGAAAUAGCUGAGAAAGAAAAGAAGAAAAAAAAUUGAAAUGAAACUUCAAAAUUUAAUUAGACAGCACAGAAAGUUAUUUUGAACAAAACACAAAUGUCUCUUUAGUCAAUGUUCAACCAGCAUGUUUUGAUUAUUUUGGGUUUUUGCCCCCCUCAAUCUUUUUUUUCCCCUCUUGGCUCUCUGGAAAUUCAGUGACACCAAACCAUUCCUAGAAGAAAGAUUCUGGUUUGGAUGAAUCCAAGUUUUUCAACAACAACAUGUUUUGUGAGAAAAUUCCCCGCUGCUUCUGUUCAUCAAUAAAUUUGAUGAGUUUAACCAGCCUCACGGCUGGCUGGGGACAAAGAGAUCCCCCACUUCAAGAAGUGGAUAAAUAACUUGGCACAAAGUCCUUCUCUGUUGACUCAGUUUACUUUGUGGACCCGGGCAUGACUGUCAUAAUAAAUUAAAGCAUAAGCAGUCCCAUUUGUCACUUCACCACUUCCUUUUGCUGCCUUCCAACAUGUGGUAAACCCAUUAGUUUUAACACAGAGAAAAGCUCAGAUGAGGGGAGGAGGACAGUGCUACAAUUAAGGGGAAAGAGGAAAAUAGAAGACUUGUGGGGCACAGUGAAGGCUUGGCGGGCACAAAUUGAGUCUUUUUGGGGGCAGAACCACACUCAAGUCGUCGUGUCACCCUCAAAAUUCAUAGGGUGGUCCAAAACCAGAGUUACAGAAGCCUCCUCUCAGUCUUGCCCAGCCCCGGAUUUCAGAGUAAGGUGCAAGAUGUUCUUUGAUGUCUCUUCAGCUGUGCGCGGCUCCUCUUCGCUGCUCCUUGCCAUAGUCUGCAGCAAUUUCCUAGAGCCAGACGAGGGAUAUGUUCAGAGCAGGCCCCUUGCUGACAAGGUGUGAACAGAUUGAUGGCCAUCCCGUCCCACCUGGCGGCACAGGAAUACGCGCAGCCUGAGAGAGCUGUCCGGGAAUCCCCUGCCGAACCUGAGCCCUGAAGAAACAGGUUUUGGCUUUGAACGAGAGCAGAGGUCACAUUCAGAAAGAGAGAAGGGCGUGUACACGUGUAUAAGUGCGGUGGGAGCUCAGAAGAAUGUAAGUUUAGGAUCUGAAAGCAUCACACUCCUGAAUUAUGAUUAUUUAUUAUGCUGAUAUUGCCUAGAGGGCCCAGCCUCAUUGUGCUAAGGACUUCACAGGCACAGAAUGAAGAAACAGUCUCUGUCUGGAAGAUGGAUGAGGAAAACCUCCCUACAGGGGCUGGGAACAGGUGUGGCAUCUAUCCAUCACACUGAUGGAGCGUGUUUGCAAGAUGGGUUUGUGAGCAUGUGUAAGUGUAGGGGAGACAACAGGAGAAGGAGAAAGUUGGAUGGUGAUUUUAAUCUGUCUGGCUCUAAAGAAGUGUUUUAUUUUUUUCUUUUAACCUCACCUUUCCUCUCCAGUAGUGAUUAUCCACAGGUAAGAUAAGAAUUAUCAAAAAGUUUUAGUUAUUCUGCUGAAAAUAUGGAUGCUGAGAGAUGUGCUGCAGUCAUUCCCUCUGUAUCUUUAAGGAAGUCACUUCGGACUUUUUUUUAAUAGUAAUGAAGAAUCUAAUCCCUGUAGUGUCUCCUUAAAGAUCUGUCUUUUUCUCAUCUUUUAGCUCUUCAGUUUCACUAAGUUUUAGCUAAAAAAGAAAGGAAGUGAAUGAAGCAGCAGGUUUUUUUGCAUGAACAGCAUAUUGAAUGCCACCUGGUUUCCCCAUGGACAUGUAGCACAUGUCUGAUUAUUUUGUGACACUUCUGUCCUUGCUGAGUCCUCCAUCAUGCUGGGGCUGAGCAAAGCAUCAGAUCAUGGUUGGGGAGGAAUCUGCAGCUCUGACAGGUGGGCUGCGGGGUUUCAGCUGUCUUCACUUUGCUUGGGGGAGGCACUGGAAACCUCUCCCCCAUGUCAGGAUUGUGUGAGGUGGGACCAUGGGCUCAAAAGGUCCCAACUACAGAAAAUAUUUUCUUAGGGAGUCAGGUAAGGAUUGUUGUUCUCUUAGAGCAACAUCCUGGAAACAUAGAGGUGAAAUCUGCUAAAUAUUGAGGAAUCCUGUGCUUGUUAAGGGUUAAUGAAUCAACUGCCCUGAAGCUUAUUGAAGAGAAGGGAACAGAGCAUUCUGCACAUCAGUGGGAUAUGGUGCUUCUUGAGUACUUUAGGGAGAAAAAGGAAAGAGAUGUAUAAUUUUCUUUCUUUUAGUUCUCAGAACAAUCACUAGCAAGAAAAAACUUAGCUAUUCUUAGUUGCAUCUAGGAGCUGUGCAUAAUCUUUCCUGCUGAAUUAUGGAAUAUGAUAGCUUUUAUUAAAUCCAUUACAAUUACAGCCUCUCUGCUGCACAGGUUUAUAAUAUGGAAUUACUAGGGUGCAUAAUUUCAAAUAAAUAUUUAAGAUUUUGAUGCAUUAUAGUUUUAGACUCUUAGAAAAUAGAAUUACAUUUAGUUUUGUCUAUUUUAUUUGACACAAACUUUCCUACCCAGCUGCUUCUUAGUGUUACUUUUUCCUUCUUUUUUUCCAUUUUCUAGUUUUUAUACUGGGGAACAGAUCAUGACUGGUGCACUUUUGCCCAGGAUUUAUAUUGGUGACUUGAGUCUUCUAUAAAGUGGCUGGGUGUAUAAAACCAGAGAUAGGGAGAAUUCUCCAUAAAGUUGGAACUAAUCUCAGGAAGCAUGCAGCUAAAAAAUGUAUCAGUCAAAACUCUGACAGGAAAAGAUCCAUAAAAUUUGGACAAAUUCUGUUGAAGGAAAGAAGUGACAAGUAUAUUUUAUUCCAGAAUUUGGAUUCAGUGUUUGCAGGUGAUCCAGGAGUUAUAGGAGAACGGGAGGCCUGAAGGCUUCUGUUUCCCUGCAUCUCCAGCCAACAGCUCCUGUGGGCUUCUUCUUCCUCCAAGGCACUUCCAGUUACCGAGAGGAAUGCACAAGAGCUGACUGAGUAUGGUAAGUGGGAACUGCUUUCCUAGACCUUGAUGUACCUCUACUGGAGCACAUGUGUACAAACACAGAUGAUGCUCUCCAAGAUGCACUGCACUUAGCCUGGCCAUGUGCUGAUGAGAACUUCCUGCUGGUGGCCUGUGCUGCCUGAGCUGAUGGUUCUUUGCUGAACCAGCAGCUCCCAGUUCCUUGUGCUGCUCCCAGCCUUGCGUUGGUUGCUUCACAAAAUUCACAAGUAUCAGAAAUACCCAAUCCCCAAAGUAAUGAGGACAGGGUCAGAACUUCCCAGAGGCUCAUAUUUUCCCACUCAGGUUGCCCAGCUGUUUGAUGCCAAAGGGAAGCAAGGAUGGGAAUUUCUGAGCACACUAACAAGAGGGAAAACCCCUCCGUGUGAUCUGUGUGCUUCUUUUGUCUUCCCCACACCUGCUUCCUUUCCUCUUCUCCCCACCCACCCCUCAAGAAGAUGCUCUAGGUGUUGGCUUUGCCUUGGCUGCCAAUACUCUGCAGAGAUGUGUUAAUGAUGACUGGCAGCUUUUAAAAGUGCUGUUUCAACACCUUGCUGUCACCACACCUCAUACUUCAGCAGCUUAGCACAUGUUCCAAGGUGUUUAAAGAGCUUCCCGUGCAGCCCUUUUCCAGGCACUAACCUCUUGCCAGGAGCAGUAGCAGCUCCUGACCGCAAUUUCUGGCUGCGACCUUGUUAGUAUUUGCCUACGACAUGUAAAUGAGCAGCGCAGUCGUUAGCUAACGAAAUGUGUAAUGUUUUCCAUUGUGUGGAAGGCUCAGAGCUGACAAGACCAGAGCCUGUGUUCCAAAGUUUAAAGCAGUUGGCAGGUUUCUCAGUACCAGUUUUUUAUGCCCCCAAGUGGGUUAUGGAGCGGAAAAGGGGGUGGAGAGGAAAGGAGAGGGAGGAAUGUGUGUGGCUGUGUGGUGGGGGGAGAGUUAGUGGGAGAGAAGGGCCAUUUGCAAGCCACCAGCUUUGAAUUCAGCUUGCAAGGGCCUUGUGGUUGCGCUGAAGGGCCUGUUGGACUCAUUUGAUUGACUCUAGGCUUAAUGCUGCUUGCCACUUACCAGCACUUGUCUUUGCUCAUUAGCAGGGGGAUUGUGGGCAAAUAUUUAGAUAUUCAAGAGAGGAAAUGUUAAUCUUUGCCGUGUUCACUGAAUAUUGAAAUGAGGCAGCAGGCAGUUUUGCUCUGAGUUUGACCUAGACUUCCAUUGCCGAGCAAACACUCAAGUCCUGGGAUGGAUUUACAGAAUGGCACCUCCUGGGUACUGGGGUUCAAAUCACACAUGGUAAUUCAGACCUUCUCAAGAAAUGCAGUGCAAGCAGCCCAAACAAACACUACUGUACACAAAUGGUACAGAAGCUUUCAUCUGAGAAAUGUGAGGCACAGGAAAGUGCAACCCUGGUGGAGUCAGAAUAAUGCAGUGUUGUAGACCCUCUGCUUCAUGGGCAGGAGGUGGCCUCACGGUGAUGGUUAAAGAUGGUGAGGACCUAUAAUUACUGGUAAACUGAGCAUUAGGCAUGCUCUUUGUAAUUAAAAAAAUGAGAAAAAUACAGAUAUUCUCUUGAGGUCUGGACAGGUAGAUGUCCUGAACAAAAGCAGGAAUUAAGAACUUAAUGUGUUUGGAGGUGAAUGUGGUGUUUGUGCUGAUGUCCUGAUAUCUCACAUACUGAUUCGUAGAUGAACAAGUUACCUCCUUGGAGCAUGAAGUGGACUCAGGUGAGGUUAAUCAGCACUGAUACUCUGGAACAGAUAAUGGGAAUCAUAGAAUCACCAAGGUUGGAAAAGACCUAAAAGAUCAUCCAGUCCAACCGUUCACCUAUUACCUGCUAAACCA